ACCCAUGUGUCUAUGGGGCCUUCCGACGGUAGCAGUCUCCCUUCCUAGGCAUGGAAUAGCAGGUCCUUGUGAUUGGCAAAGCUGUACUGUUCCGUUGGUAGCAGAUUCUGACUUGCACAAGGGACAUCU